AGUGAACGCUGGCGGUAGGCCUAACACAUGCAAGUCGAACGGCAGCACAGUAAGAGCUUGCUCUUACGGGUGGCGAGUGGCGGACGGGUGAGGAAUACAUCGGAAUCUACUUUUUCGUGGGGGAUAACGUAGGGAAACUUACGCUAAUACCUCAUACGACCUACGGGUGAAAGCAGGGGAUCUUCGGACCUUGCCCGACCGAUUGAGCCGAUGUCGGAUUAGCUAGUUGGCGGGGUAAAGGCCCACCAAGGCGACGAUCCGUAGCUGGUCUGAGAGGAUGAUCAGCCACACUGGAACUGAGACACGGUCCAGACUCCUACGGGAGGCAGCAGUGGGGAAUAUUGGACAAUGGGCGCAAGCCUGAUCCAGCCAUACCGCGUGGGUGAAGAAGGCCUUCGGGUUGUAAAGCCCUUUUGUUGGGAAAGAAAAGCAGCAGGUUAAUACCCCGCUGUUCUGACGGUACCCAAAGAAUAAGCACCGGCUAACUUCGUG
rnacentral:rRNA from 1 species